rnacentral:rRNA from 1 species
GAUACGUCUUCAGAGUUUGAUCCUGGCUCAGGAUGAACGCUAGCUACAGGCUUAACACAUGCAAGUCGAGGGGAAACGGCGGAGGAGCUUGCUUCUUCGGACGUCGACCGGCGCACGGGUGAGUAACGCGUAUCCAACCUGCCCCGGUCUGCGGGAUAACCCGUCGAAAGACGGACUAAUACCCCAUAUUGUCCGAGACAGGCAUCUUGCUUGGACCAAAGGAUUUCCGGUCACGGAUGGGGAUGCGUCCGAUUAGCUUGUUGGCGGGGCAACGGCCCACCAAGGCUUCGAUCGGUAGGGGUUCUGAGAGGAAGGUCCCCCACAUAGGAACUGAGACACGGUCCUA